AUGAACGAUGUUGGCAUGGUGCCUCCUGUUGUUGAUGAGACCAGUCAUAAUGUUGAGGCUGCUGUUGACCGUGGAAUUAAUGAUCCAUCUACUGACAAGUGCAAGGGUCCUGUUGUUGGCGACGAGUCUUGUUCGACCAUUGGUAAUGUUCCUUUGAAUGUUAGUAGCAGCAAGAUUGAUGAUGGUGCUGUGAAUGCUGCUAAGAUGACUGAUGUUGAGUGUGAGACUGCCGUUAGUGGUGGACAUGAUGAUUGUGGUGUUCCAUUGAGUAGUGGGCGCGAUGUUGGUACCAAAGUUGGUGAUGAGGUUGUUGGUGCUGCCAGCAUACUUGAUGCCAAAUCGUCUGGUGUUGGUAUUGCUGGGAAUGAAAAUCUUUCUGAUUGUGAAGAUUUGCCGCCGGAAAAUUUCCCUCCUGGAGGGCUUGAUUACGGUGAUGCAUUGCAAGAUGCCUCUAGCAUGGAGGAGGAACUCCCGUCAAACUCUAAUAGUGCAGAAGGUGCUAAUACGAUUAAGGUUGAUUUGUUUUUCUUCGCUGUUACGAGGUUGCGCACAAACCGUGCGAAACAUAACAAGCCAAUGUUUCAAAAUCGCGAAUGUGAUGCCAAUCUUGGUUCUAUUGCUAAAGCGUUUGUCCCCACUAGCAUGCUCAACUCAGACAGUGCUGACGUUGUUUUAUAUUCUCUACGUCAGAAGUACCGAAACACUGACAAGUUGAUAGUUCCCAGAUGGGUGACGCUUCUUUUCCCUACUUUUGAUCCGCCAUCAUUUGCGGCUGCCAUGAAGCCUAGUGAAGAAUCUGGGCAUUGGUGCUUGAUUGUUCUGAAUUUGAGGUUCCGUCGUUUUGAGUGUCUUGAUUCACUCCGUGAUGAAACCUGGAGUGAUGUAGUUAGUUUCUUAAGGACUAUGACAGAUAACAUAAAGAAGCUUUGGAGGGAGUCCAACAUAGACAGGGCCAAACCGUUCUCGCUGCCGCAUAUUGAUGGUUUCUCUUGCGAGUUUGUGCGGGUGCCGCAGCAGAGAAACACCAAUGAAGACAUUCUUGACAUCGGGAAGACUUUUCUGUUUACCUGCGCAACUAGCGAUGUGUUUGAUGUUGACUUCCGGGGUUUGUUUGGCAUCGAGCCCUGUGAGUGGUUGGAUCUUGGUGAGCAUGACUACAGGAUCUUUGGCAGCCAGUUCUCAGAAAGAUCUGGUGUUAUGAAGGGGCGGUUGGGAGCUCUGAAAGGUUCUACGACUGCUUGUGCAGAUAGCCCCUCUACACCCAAGAAUCCCAUUGUGGAAUUCAUAGACAGCGAUGAUGAUGCGUUUGACAAGAUUGUUGGCAUGGGAAGAGUCACCAGGAGCGCUGCUGCCAAGGGUUUAUCCCCCCUUGCUGGAAUAGUGGCCCGUAGAGCUGGUGCUGCUAGGAAGGAUCCUACUAUGGAUUCUGGCAAUGUUACAAGCACGAAGCGUGCACCCAGAGCUCCCAUAAAAUUUUGCUCCCAUGUGCAGCAGCUUCACCCUCAUAAUUUCCCUCACCUGGACAAGGCUCGCAAGUUGUAUAAUCUGUUGCUUAGUGAUGAAUGGCGUGAGAAGUAUGCCGAGAAUGUGUUCUCAAUGAUACCUCAGCCUGAUGAAAGUGUAACUAGCUUCACUGGGAAACGCAUCUGGGAAGUUUUUUCACCUGGGCAAAUGAUGGAGGGUGAUAUAAUGGACUUCCUCAUUGAUGAUUGGAAGCAAGAUCUCGAGGGAAAUGCUGAUUUCGCACCUGGAAAAAGGGUAUUGCUGAGUCCAUAUUUCAUCACGGUUGUGCUUGACUGUAUGUUUUAUGGUGAUGAAGAUAAAGAGUUUAAUGUGGAGAGUGCAACGAGAGAUUUCAAGAGCUAUGUUAAAGAUAAGUAA
rnacentral:rRNA from 1 species